rnacentral:rRNA from 1 species
GAUCCUGGCUCAGCAUGAACGCUGGCGGCGUGCUUAACACAUGCAAGUCGAACGCUGAAGCCCCAGCUUGCUGGGGUGGAUGAGUGCUGAACGGGUGAGUAACACGUGAGUAACCUUCCCUUGACUCUGGGAUAAGCCUGGGAAACCGGGUCUAAUACCGGAUGCGACCCUCUACCGCAUGGUGGGGGGUGGAAAGAUUUAUCGGUCUUGGAUGGACUCGCGGCCUAUCAGCUUGUUGGUGGGGUAAUGGCCCACCAAGGCGACGACGGGUAGCCGGCCUGAGAGGGUGACCGGCCACACUGGGACUGAGACACGGCCCAGACUCCUACGGGAGGCAGCAGUGGGGAAUAUUGCACAAUGGGCGCAAGCCUGAUGCAGCGACGCCGCGUGAGGGAUGACGGCCUUCGGGUUGUAAACCUCUUUCAGUAGGGAAGAAGCGAAAGUGAC